rnacentral:lncRNA from 1 species
GAACUAGUAGCCAUUGAACGCUGACUUUCUUAUUCCAUAAGCAUAACAUAGGCUUUGUUAAGAGUGAGAGUUGGCUCAAUCAUCAAAAUAUGGAUACGACCUUGAUCGUAUGUCUCAUUCAGACCCAUGAGAAACUUCAUAAACUUUUGUCGAACAAUAUGUGCACAAAAAUCUCUAUAUCUAGGUCAAUCACAUGGUGGUG